rnacentral:rRNA from 1 species
AUACGUAUGUCGCAAGCGUUAUCCGGAAUUAUUGGGCGUAAAGCGAGUCUAGGCGGCUUGUUAAGUCAGAUGUGAAAAUGCGGGGCUCAACUCCGUAUUGCGUUUGAAACUGGCAGGCUAGAGUACUGGAGAGGUGGGCGGAACUACAAGUGUAGAGGUGAAAUUCGUAGAUAUUCGUAGGAAUGCCGAUAGUGAAGACAGCUCACUGGACAGAUACUGACGCUAAAGCUCGAAAGCGUGGGGAGCGAACAGGAUUAGAAACCCUAGUAGUCC